rnacentral:rRNA from 2 species
AUGAAAUCCGGUUGAUCCUGCCGGAGGCGACCGCUAUUGGAGUUCGAUUAAGACAUGCGAGUCAGAGCACUAGCUCGGCAUACCGCUCAGUAACACGUGGGUAACCUGCCCUAUUGUUUCGAAUAACCUCGGGAAACUGAGAACAACACGACAUAGUCCACUACGCCUGGAACGGUGAGUGGAUAAAGAUAGGAUGGGCCUGCGGCGUAUCAGGUCGUAGGGGGUGUAAAGGACCUCCUAGCCAUCAACGCGUACGGGUGUUGGGAGACAUUGCCCGGAGAUGGAUUCUGAGACACGAAUCCAGGCCCUACGGGGCGCAGCAGUUACGAAAACUUGGCAAUGCGGGAAACCGUGACCAGGGAACUCCAAGUGCAUCGGGUAAGACCUAUGCUUUUCUUGACUCUAAAACGGUCUUGGAAUAAGGGGUGGGUAAGGACGGUGCCAGCCGCCGCGGUAAUACCGGCGCCUCAAGUGGUCGUCGCUUUUAUUGGGCCUAAAACGUCCGUAGCCGGUCUGGUACAUUCGUGGGUAAAUCAGCUCGCUCAACGAGUUGAAUUCUGCGAGGACGGCCAGACUUGGGACCGGGAGAGGUGUGGGGUACUCUCAGGGUAGGGGUAAAAUCCUGUCAUCCUGAGAGGACCACCUGUUGCGAAGGCGCCACACUAGAACGGAUCCGACGGUCAGGGACGAAGCCUAGGG